GAACAUCUGGGCACGUAUGAAGGAAAACAAAUGGAGGAAGACUGGUGUGACUGGCAAAAUGGGAACAUAUUCCCUUUUGUUAGCUGCUGAAAUGAGGCAAGUAAAGUUUUGCCUCAUAAUGCAAUCUGAUGGACAGCAAGGUUUGAGGCAUUGAAGCACUAUGAGGAGAAUUUUCCUUUUUGAGGGAAAAGGGAGCUGCCAUUCCCAUUACGUGCCCAGCCUAAACUUGAUUGGACAGUGUCAUCUUUCCUUGCUGAGACCCACAGUACUCCAAAUAUCAUGUAUGACCACAAGAAUAAAAGUCUUUCAG